AGAGUUUGAUCCUGGCUCAGGACGAACGCUGGCGGUGCGCUUUAUGCAUGCAAGUCGAGCGAAGCUUUUCAGUAGUUUACUACAGAAAAUGACUGAGCGGCGAACGGGUGAGUAACGCGUGAGCAAUCUACCUUAGUUACAGGGAUAGCCCGAGGAAACUCGGAUUAAUACCUGAUAUUCUUUAUUUCUCGCAUGAGAUUAAAAGGAAAGGUCAGCCGAACUAAGAUGAGCUCGCGUUCUAUCAGCUAGUUGGUGAGGUAAAAGCUUACCAAGGCUACGACGGAUAGCUGGUCUGAGAGGACGAUCAGCCACACUGGGACUGAGACACGGCCCAGACUCCUACGGGAGGCUGCAGCAGGGAAUAUUGUGCAAUGAACGAAAGUUUGACACAGCGACACCGCGUGUGGGAUGACGGAUCUAGGUUUGUAAACCACUUUCAGGAGGGAAGAAAAUGACGGUACCUCCAUAAGAAGCCCCGGCCAACUACGUGCCAGCAGCCGCGGUAAUACGUAGGGGGCGAGCGUUGUCCGGAUUUAUUGGGCGUAAAGAGCUCGUAGGCGGUUCAACAAGUCGGUCGUGAAAGUUCAGGGCUCAACCCUGAAAUGUCGAUCGAUACUGUUGUGACUAGGAUACGGUAGAGGUGAGUGGAAUUCCGAGUGUAGCGGUGAAAUGCGUAGAUAUUCGGAGGAACACCAAUAGCGAAGGCAGCUCACUGGGCCGCUAUCGACGCUGAGGAGCGAAAGCUAGGGGAGCAAACAGGAUUAGAUACCCUGGUAGUCCUAGCUGUAAACGAUGGAUACUAGACGUAGGAACUGGAUUGACGGUUUCUGUGUCGCAGCUAACGCGUUAAGUAUCCCGCCUGGGGAGUACGGUCGCAAGACUAAAACUCAAAGGAAUUGACGG
rnacentral:rRNA from 1 species